ACUGGCUUAACUCAGGGAUGUGUU
rnacentral:siRNA from 1 species